rnacentral:rRNA from 1 species
AAUCAACGCUGGCGGCGUGCCUCAGACAUGCAAGUCGAACGCGAAAGCCUCCUUCGGGGGGCAAGUAGAGUGGCGCACGGGUGAGUAACACGUAGGUAAUCUACCUUUGGAUGGGGAAUAACCACCGGAAACGGUGGCUAAUACUGCAUAAUGCAGCGGCACCUAAUGGUGACAGUUGUUAAAGCGGGGGAUCGUAAGACCUCGCGUCUGAAGAGGAGCCUGCGGCGGAUUAGCUAGUUGGUAGGGUAACGGCUUACCAAGGCAAUGAUCCGUAGCCGGCCUGAGAGGGCGGUCGGCCACACUGACACUGACAUACGGGUCAGACUCCUACGGGAGGCAGCAGUCGGGAAUUUUGGGCAAUGGGCGAAAGCCUGACCCAGCAACGCCGCGUGAAGGAUGAAAUCCCUCGGGAUGUAAACUUCGCAAGAACAGGAAGAAUAAGUCAGGGUAAAUAUCUCUUACGAUGACGGUACUGUUUGUAAGCUCCGGCUAACUCCGUGC